GUCGAACGCUGGCGGCGUGCCUAAUACAUGCAAGUCGAACGGAGUGGCGCACGGGUGAGUAAUAUAUAGCUAAUCUGCCCCUUGCUGGAGGUCAACAGUUAAAACUGACUGCUAAUACUCCAUAGCAAGGGAUGAGCCUAUAUCGUAUCAGCUAGUCGGUGGGGUAACGGCCUACCGAGGCUAUGACGCGUAACUGGUCUGAGAGGAUGAGCAGUCACAUUGGAAGUGAGACACCGGCCAAGCUGAUACGGGAGGGAGCAGUAGGGAAUAUUGCGCAAUGGGGGAAAGCCUGACGGAGCAACGGCGCGUGGAGGAUGACACUUUGCGGAGCGUAAACUCCUGUUGUUAGGGAAGCGGUACCUAACGAAUAAGCACCGGCUAACUCCGUGCCAGCAGCCGCGGUAAUUC
rnacentral:rRNA from 1 species